CAAGUCGCGCGAGAAAAGGGGGGCAACUCCCUGAGUAAAGCGGCGAACGGGUGAGUAACACGUAGGUAACCUACCCUCGAGUCCAGGAUAACCUACCGAAAGGUGGGCUAAUACCGGAUAUGACCACGGAGGUUUCGGCUUCUGCGGUGAAAGGUGGCCUCUGCUUGCAAGCUACCGCUCGUUGAUGGGCCUGCGCGCCAUUAGCUAGUUGGUGAGGUAACGGCUCACCAAGGCGAUGAUGGCUAGCUGGUCUGAGAGGAUGGCCAGCCACACUGGGACUGAAACACGGCCCAGACUCCUACGGGAGGCAGCAGUGGGGGAUAUUGCGCAAUGGGCGAAAGCCUGACGCAGCGACGCCGCGUGGGUGAUGAAGGCCUUCGGGUCGUAAAGCCCUGUCGAGGGGAAAGAAACGGUUCCGACCCAACACGUCGGGACCCUGACGGUACCCCUAAAGGAAGCACCGGCUAACUCCGUGCCAGCAGCCGCGGUAAUACGGAGGGUGCGAGCGUUGUUCGGAAUCACUGGGCGUAAAGGGCGUGUAGGCGGUCCGCUAAGUCUGAUGUGAAAGCCCGGGGCUCACCCCCGGAAGUGCAUUGGAAACUGGCGGACUCGAGUCCCGGAGAGGAGAGUGGAAUUCCUGGUGUAGCGGUGAAAUGCGUAGAUAUCAGGAGGAACACCGGUGGCGAAGGCGGCUCUCUGGACGGUGACUGACGCUGAGACGCGAAAGCGUGGGGAGCAAACAGGAUUAGAUACCCUGGUAGUCCACGCUGUAAACGAUGAGCACUAGGUGUCGUGGGUAUUGACCCCCGCGGUGCCGCAGCUAACGCAUU
rnacentral:rRNA from 1 species